rnacentral:rRNA from 1 species
AGCAUAUCAAUAAGCGGAGGAAAAGAAACUAACCAGGAUUCCCCUAGUAACGGCGAGUGAAGCGGGAAGAGCUCAAAUUUGUAAUCUGGCGGCUUACGGUCGUCCGAGUUGUAGUCUGGAGAAGCGUUUUCCGUGUCGGACCGUGUACAAGUCCUUUGGAACAGGGCGUCGUAGAGGGUGAGAAUCCCGUCUUUGACAUGGACUGCCGAUGCUUUGUGAUGCGCUCUCGAAGAGUCGAGUUGUUUGGGAAUGCAGCUCAAAACGGGUGGUAAAUUCCAUCUAAAGCUAAAUAUUGGCGAAAGACCGAUAGCGAACAAGUACCGUGAGGGAAAGAUGAAAAGCACUUUGGAAAGAGAGUUAAACAGUACGUGAAAUUGUUGAAAGGGAAACGUUUGAAGUCAGUCGCGUCUCCUGGGAUUCAGCCUUGCAUUUGCUGCUCGGUGUAUUUCCUGGGGCGACGGGCCAGCAUCGAUUUUGAUCGUCGGAAAAAGGCUUUGGGAAUGUGGCACCUCUCGCGGGGUGUGUUAUAGCCCUGGGUCGUAUGCGACGGUUGGGAUCGAGGACCGCAGCACGCCUUUUUGGCCGGGGUUCGCCCACGUAACGUGCUUAGGAUGCUGGCGUAAUGGCUUUAAGCGACCCGUCUUGAAACACGGACCAAGGAGUCUAACAUGCCUGCGAGUGUUUGGGUGGAAAACCCGGACGCGGAAUGAAAGUGAAAGGUUGGGACCCCUGUCGUGGGGGGCACCGACGCCCGGACCAGACCUUUUGUGACGGUUCCGAGGUAGAGCAUGCAUGCUGGGACCCGAAAGAUGGUGAACUAUGCCUGAGUAGGGUGAAGCCAGAGGAAACUCUGGUGGAGGCUCGUAGCGAUUCUGACGUGCAAAUCGAUCGUCGAACUUGGGUAUAGGGGCGAAAGACUAAUCGAACCAUCUAGUAGCUGGUUCCUGCCGAU